rnacentral:rRNA from 1 species
AUACGGAAGGUCCGGGCGUUAUCCGGAUUUAUUGGGUUUAAAGGGUGCGCAGGCGGAGAUGCAAGCGUGACGUCAAAUUUCGGGGCUCAACCCCGUCUCGCGUCGCGAACUGCGUCCCUUGGUUGCGGGAAGGGGAGGCGGAACUCGUGGUGUAGCGGUGAAAUGCAUAGAUAUCACGAAGAACUCCGAUCGCGAAGGCAGCCUUCCGGCCCGUCAACGACGCUCAUGCUCGAAGGUGCGGGUAUCAAACAGGAUUAGAUACCCUGGUAGUCCGCACAGUAAACGAUGGACACCCGCGGUUUGGCCUGUAUGGCUGAGCCGCCAAGCGAAAGCGUUAAGUGUCCCACCUGGGGAGUACGCCGGCAACGGUGAAACUCAAAUGAAUUGGCGGGG